UCUAUGUACUGAUGUGAGGGAGAAAAUUCCACGCAUGGAAGGUUAUUUUGAAAACAUUGUGAGCCAAAUGAGUGAUGGAGUCUUUAAAAGUCAUUUUCGUCUGCACAUACAUACCAUGGAAAGAAUUGAAAAUAUAGUGUCCGAGAGUUUUCAAGUGCAAGCUACUGGAAGACCAUGUGUACCUUUGAAAAAGCAAUUGCACAUGGUCAUUUGGUAUUUAGCAACACCCGAAUGUUACAGAUCUAUAUCUGACCGAUUUGGUGUGUGCCCAAAAACACUGUGGACUUCAGUACAGAAAAUAUGUGCAAUACUAGUGCAGAAAGCCCCAGAAAUAAUUAAAUGGCCACAGUC